GACGCUGGCGGCAGCUACACAUGCAGUUNGAACGGUACAGAAAGUAGCUUGCUACUUUGCUGACGAGCGGCGGACGGGUGAGUAAUGCUUGGGAACAUGCCUUGAGGUGGGGGACAACAGUUGGAAACGACUGCUAAUACCGCAUAAUGUCUACGGACCAAAGGGGGCUUCGGCUCUCGCCUUUAGAUUGGCCCAAGUGGGAUUAGCUAGUUGGUGAGGUAAUGGCUCACCAAGGCAACGAUCCCUAGCUGGUUUGAGAGGAUGAUCAGCCACACUGGAACUGAGACACGGUCCAGACUCCUACGGGAGGCAGCAGUGGGGAAUAUUGCACAAUGGGCGNAAGCCUGAUGCAGCCAUGCCGCGUGUGUGAAGAAGGCCUUCGGGUUGUAAAGCACUUUCAGUCAGGAGGAAAGGGUGUGAGUUAAUACCUCACAUCUGUGACGUUACUGACAGAAGAAGCACCGGCUAACUCCGUGCCAGCAGCCGCGGUAAUACGGAGGGUGCGAGCGUUAAUCGGAAUUACUGGGCGUAAAGCGUACGCAGGCGGUUUGUUAAGCGAGAUGUGAAAGCCCCGGGCUCAACCUGGGAACUGCAUUUCGAACUGGCAAACUAGAGUGUGAUAGAGGGUGGUAGAAUUUCAGGUGUAGCGGUGAAAUGCGUAGAGAUCUGAAGGAAUACCGAUGGCGA
rnacentral:rRNA from 1 species